AGUAAGGGCAAAUUAUACAGGCAGAACCCCAUAAGGCGGAAUAUUUGAAUAUCAAGCACAAAUGGGGAUCGAACAAAGGCAGAAAUGGACAGCUCUAGCAAAAGCAGCACGAGCAGUUUUCCCCAGAAGAGCAGAUUAUGGACACUUGGCGUCCAUAAAACAAAAAAUAGGGGAAGAUGUAGACAAGUUCAAAAUACGUUUUGAAAAAGAAUAUAGGUUUCACAGCGGGAUCCCUCCCGCUGACGGAGAUGAAACACCAUAUCAGCAAUGUUGAUGGGAGCUUUCCAGCCAUAUAUCUAUGCGUGGGUUAAAGAACAUUUAGUUACACUGGCAACGUCUAAUGUAACCACAGUGAUGGAAUAUGUGUGUCAAAAAAGAGAAAAACGCAAAAAAGGGAGUUGGUGCAUCUGGAGGGGGGACACACAUUUUCUGGGCAGAUCCUAUGUGUGAUUCAGAAGAAAUAUUUGCUUUCCAAGCCACCGGACCCUUCAACAGUGUCGAGGAGGUUUUCGAGGAGGCAGGGGCAGUCCUAGCGACCGAGGGGGCUUUCAGCCCAAAAAAAAAAAAAAAAAAAAAAGAAAUAGAUGGAGGAUGCAGGAAUAAUUAGACCAUGCCCAGUGGGUGCAGAAACAAGUACAGUUACAAGCCCUGCUAUCUCAGCAGAAGGUUAAAAGAUACAGGAAGAAAAAAAAAAGAAAAAAAAACUUUAGCAGACUACAUGAGAGAAAUGUUGCAGUCUAAAGAACUAUCCAUUGCAAUAUUACUGCCAGGAGAAUCUUUUUCUCCACAGGAUCCACAAACAGUGAGACCAGGAGACUGGGUGUUCGUCAAAGUCAUCAGAAGGAAAAACUGGGCAAGCCCAAGGUGGGAGGGACCAUACCAAGUGCUCCUGACCACGCCAGCAACUGUGAAGAUCGCUGAAAGACCUUCCUGAAUUCACCUCACCCACUGGCCAUUCGUCUCAACGUCGGUGAAGAAACCAACUGAUCCCUGUUCUUUAGAGUCCUGGGUAAAACAUCUUAACAUCUCUGCUAACCUAGCAAAAAUGUUUGCUGGACUCUGUUUGAGUCCAGAGAGUCCAGAUCCGCAGAGUGAGAGAGGAAAGAAGUUAAUCUACUCCACUGCCAUGAAGAUUUGGCUGGGAAAUCUCCCAGACCAUCACCCAGAGAACUUGUGGCAGAUGAAUGUGACGAUGUUGGCUGAGGA